rnacentral:rRNA from 1 species
CACUCACUCUCUCCCCACCGCAUCACCGGCCUCCUCUUCUCCGACGCGACGACGGCGCCUGCAUGGCUGCAUCUCCGCUGCUAGCUCUGGCUUUUGGGCUGACCUCCGCAUCUUCAAACCCCACCUUUUCCCGCCCACUCUCUCCCCCUAACAUCCGCUCACUCUCUCCCCGUCCUCUUCCCGCCGCGUCGCCGGCCUCCCCCUCUCCCCCACGACGGCGGCGCCCGCAUCUCCGCCGCUAGCUCUGGCCUUUGGGCCGACCUCCACGUCUUGAAACCCCAAUCCCUUCCAGUUUGAGCCAGCCCCGAUCUCAUCCCUGCCGCCUCCAUCUUCGCUGUAGACAGCCCCACCCUCAUCCGCUCCGGUCUCGUACGCGACGUGAUGCUCCAUCCAUUGGUACGCGGCGGCGGUGGUUCGGUCCCGGAGGCGUCUCAGUAUCGUCAGGCCCGGCGCGGAGCAGGCGUUCAAGAUCGAACUCUCCGACGCGGAGAUAUGCGGACCGAGUGGCUGUGCGUGAGGGCAAGAUGGAGGCUAAAGGCUGGCGUGGAGGAGUGACUUUGCUGAAAUUUUUAACGCCGACUGGUUCAUCUCAUUUCUAUCAAAGGAUGUAAGGAUUGUGAAUGGGCUUCCAAAGAUAGGAGCGCGGGAUAGUGCUUGACAUAUACAGCAAGAUUUAGAGACGAAGUUAUACCUGGAGGUUGCUAUUCAUCAGAUCGUGCCAAAGUACUUCAAGAUGGCUACUGGUUUGUGAUCUGAUUUUUUGAAUGGACUUUCCUAUAUAUGAUAUUGCAAAUAGUUUUCUGGUCAGACUGAGUUUCCUAUGGAAGUAUACUAAGCACACCUGAUGUUCACACUUGAUUUUGCUUAGCACAAGAGAUCUACCCCAGCACCGCUUCCCCAUCUCUGGUGGUUCCUUUGGCUUCCUCCAUGGCUGCUGAGAAGAUGGGUCACCAAUUUGCACCACUGUACCUCAUGGCCAAUUUGCACCAGCAUUAACGAGGUCGCAGCCGAGGCCGUCCGUCGUCGUGCCAGGCUCAAUUUGGAGGACACCAAGGGUCGUAUACCUAUUGAUCUUCUCUCUUGCCCUGUAUCACAGGCUAAUUAAUGGGUAUUCUCCCAAUUCAGUUGCAACGGAAGUCUUCAGCUGGGGAAGUGGAUCAAACUAUCAACUGGGAACUGGCAAUGCCCACAUAUUAGAUACUGCAUGACUGCUUAUCUCUGAAUAUCCGGAUGUCCAAGACGACCAACAUUGUGCCAGGCUAAAGUUUAUGUCGUCCUGAGAUGUAAUCCAUCAGGAGCCGUUUUGAUCGACUAAAGUUUAUUAUGUCCAGGUCAUGACACAAACACAUGUGUAGACCCGCCUUGUUUUGAUCGUCUAAAGUUUACUACGUCCAGGUCCCGGAUGAGACCUAGGCAGCAUACCUGAGAUUAAAAGCGCACUGCCCUCGGAGGGCGGCGACGGCGUCUCCCGGAGUUCGGCGGCGGCGGCGAUCCCGAACGUCGGCGGCGACAGGGGAUCAAACCGCCCCGACCUGGAGACGCGGAUCAAACCGCCCCGCCCUGGAGACGCGGCGGCAAACCGCCCCGACCUGGAGACGCGGCGGCGGCGUCUCCCCUCGGACGGCGGCUUAGGUACGAAUCGAAGUUCGUCCGUGGUCGGCUGCAAGGGUCGGCGGCAGGGAGAUCGUAGACGGGGCGGCGGCGAAGGACGUCGUACGUACUGAGGGACUUCGAUGUCUCGUAGGGACGGGAAUCGUGAGG